GGAGCUUGCUCCUCCGAUCAGUGGCGAACGGGUGAGUGGCACGUGAGCAACCUGCCCCAGACUCUGGGAUAACAGUUGGAAACAGCUGCUAAUACCGGAUACGAGACGGAGAGGCAUCUCUACCGUCUGGAAAGUUUUUCGGUCUGGGAUGGACUCGCGGCCUAUCAGCUAGUUGGUGAGGUAAUGGCUCACCAAGGCGACGACGGGUAGCCGGCCUGAGAGGGCGACCGGCCACACUGGGACUGAGACACGGCCCAGACUCCUACGGGAGGCAGCAGUGGGGAAUAUUGCACAAUGGGCGAAAGCCUGAUGCAGCGACGCCGCGUGAGGGAUGACGGCCUUCGGGUUGUAAACCUCUUUCAGCAGGGAAGAAGCGAAAGUGACGGUACCUGCAGAAGAAGCACCGGCUAACUACGUGCCAGCAGCCGCGGUAAUACGUAGGGUGCGAGCGUUGUCCGGAAUUAUUGGGCGUAAAGAGCUUGUAGGCGGUUUGUCGCGUCUGCAGUGAAAAUCCGAGGCUCAACCUCGGACUUGCUGUGGGUACGGGCAGACUAGAGUAUGGUAGGGGAGACCGGAAUUCCUGGUGUAGCGGUGGAAUGCGCAGAUAUCAGGAGGAACACCGAUGGCGAAGGCAGGUCUCUGGGCCAUAACUGACGCUGAGAAGCGAAAGCAUGGGGAGCGAACAGGAUUAGAUACCCUGGUAGUCCAUGCCGUAAACGUUGGGCGCUAGGUGUGGGGCUCAUUCCACGAGCUCCGUGCCGCAGCUAACGCAUUAAGCGCCCCGCCUGGGGAGUACGGCCGCAAGGCUAAAACUCAAAGGAACUGACGGGGG
rnacentral:rRNA from 1 species